AGCCACUCUAGAUUCAGCUCCCGCUGCUCACCUCCCAGCUGAUCCCACCCCACGUGCAGUGAGAGAGGCUCCUAGGGAGUGUUGCAAUCACCAGCUCAACCUGAAACGUUGCCCCAAGUGGCUCUGUAGAAGAACCAGGCCAGUUGCCAGGCUCCUUAACAUGCAUCAAAUACCCAGGGCCUUUGACAGUCAGAAGCAGCCGGCCCCGAGCUCCUUGCAGCUGCACCAGGCCAGCUUUAGGUGUGAGCUGUGGGGCGGCUAGGUGGUGGCCCAGGGCAGCUUGUUCAAGGGGGCACUAAUGGGGCUGUGCAAAGGGGGGUUGUCAGUGGGAUGGUGCCGCUCUUAGGGUGACCACCCGUCCCUUAUUUUAAGGGCCAUCCCUUAAUCAUUUUAACAUUACAUUGAAGCUCAUAAGAACAUAAGAACGGCCAUACUGGGUCAGAUCAAAUGUUCUAGCCCAGUAUCCUGUCUUCCGACAGUGGCCAGUGCCAGGUGCUUCAGAGGGAAUGAACAGGGAGGAGAUUGUGCAAUAGGCUUUUACGCGGCAGAUUCAACCCCCCGAUCCCAGGCUCCGGCACCGACACUCUCUCGGAGACCGGCAGGGCUCAUUGCAGCCAAGUCACCUGUCACUGCUCAGUUUGGGGGGGACGUCACCCUGAGCUGCCUCUUCCCAUCCCAGCCUGGGAUGAAACUCCAGCACCUGACCCUCACCUGGCAGAAGGAGCGGGCGGGGACAGAGGCCCUGAUGGUUCAUAGUCACUAUUAUGGGAAGGACCAACUGGCAAGACAGGAUGAGGCUUAUACGAACCAUAACAUAACUACCUCUGAUCUCCGUGCCUGCUACUUAUAAUCUCUUAACAUCUCUCUCUGUUAAUAAAUCUGUCUUGGUUGAA